GUGAAGAUACUCAAGCAGCCCUAUGGUGAGGCACUGAGGCUUUCUGCCAACAGCCUUGUGAAUGAGACAUCUUGAAAGAGGAUAUUCCAGCCCCAGCCAAACUUUCAAAUGGCUCCAACUCUGACAUCCUGACAACUUCAUGAGAGGCCCUGAGCCAGAACCACCCAAACUCCUGACCCAUAAGUGUGUAACGUAACAAAUGUUUGUUGUUUCAUGCCACUAAGUUUUGGGGCAAUUUGCUACCUCUAGCCAUUGUUCCCAGCUGGUGUGUAGUCUGACUAGCAGGUACCCAUGCUUUAUUAGUGGUUUGAUAUUUUGACUAUCGGCCCUGAGUAGGAGGAAUGACAUAGAGAGGAGAUAGAGUUGUGAGUGAGAGGAGGCCAAAUCGUGGAGUCAGAGCGAAAAGGAGCACCCUGGGUAGGGCUGAGUCACUUGUGCUGUCUGGAGGGAGGCGGAGCAAAGAUCUGCAGCCCAGCUGACUGUGGUCUCAGCUUUUCCAGCCUCCAGGCUUUCUCCCGGGUUCCUAAGUCUAUAUGUCCUCACUGGAAAUGCCACAUGACUUGGGGUGACAUGGGUCUGAAAGGAGGAUGCAAGCAGUCCCUCCACAUCGCAGUUUUGCUUUCUGCGGUUUCAGUUACCUGCGGUCAACCACCAUCUAAAAAUAGAAAAAAUUCAACCUUAGAUGAUUUCCGAAAAUCUUAAUAAUCAGGACAACCUUGAACUUCACAGGCAACAGUCAAUGCCUGAGACAAUGGAGUGAAAGCCACCAGAUCCUUAAGGGAAAAGUGUUCCCCAGGACUCUUGAAGCCAGCCCUGAUGUUGGCCACUGGAAAAGACAAUCAAGAAAAUUUCUGACCUUCGGUGAAACACAAAGACUAAAGGACCCCUGUGCUGCGUGUGAUGUGAUUUUGAGAGAAACAAACAAACAAAAAGGCCAGGUGUGGUGGCUCACGCCUGUAUUCCCAGCACUUUGGGAGGCCCAGACAGGAGGAUCCUUGAGCUCACGAGUUCGAGACCAUCCUAGGCAAUAUGGCAAAACUCUGUCUCAAAAAA